rnacentral:rRNA from 1 species
UGUGAAAGACCUUCGGCUUAACCAGAGAAGUGCAUCGGAAACUGGAUAACUUGAGUGCAGAAGAGGGUAGUGGAACUCCAUGUGUAGCGGUGGAAUGCGUAGAUAUAUGGAAGAACACCAGUGGCGAAGGCGGCUACCUGGUCUGCAACUGACGCUGAGACUCGAAAGCAUGGGUAGCGAACAGGAUUAGAUACCCUGGUAG